rnacentral:lncRNA from 1 species
AAUUGAUUCUUUAGUAAAGACUCAGGUAAUUUUUAUCAUGAUUUAUAGAAGAUAUAUAUGAAAGAUUUUUGGGUUUGGAUGACCUUAAUAUUAAUUUGUGGAUCCAUAAAAUAUAUUAAACUAAUUAAUGGCACAAGAGAUGUAAAUACUUACAAAAUGAAGGUUUGUGGCCUAAUGUGGCAGAAAUUUAUCAGAGGAU